GACCCGGCCAGUGGGGAGUGCUUGCAAGAGGAACCUGGAAAAGUGGAAGGUCUAGAUCUGAUUCACAUGAGAAGACAGCCAAAGAGGACAAAUUUAUGUCAUUCAUAAGAUCGUUCAAAAAUAGUCACAGAAUGUCCAUCUGGUGCCAGAAGUUUGUUGAAUGUUGGGAUAUAAAUAAAUAUAAUGAUUAAGUUCAAAUUA
rnacentral:lncRNA from 1 species